rnacentral:rRNA from 1 species
GUCGAGUCGGCCUGCGCGGAAGAUGUAACGGGGCUCAAACUGGAUACCGAAGCUGCGGCUGCAUACUAUGUAUGCGGGGUAGGGGAGCGUUGUGUAAGUCUGUGAAGGUGUGUUGAGAAGCAUGCUGGAGAUAUCACAAGUGCGAAUGCUGACGUGAGUAACGAUAAUGGGAGUGAAAAACUCCCACGCCGAAAGACCAAGGUUUCCUGCGCAACGCUAAUCGGCGCAGGGUGAGUCGGCCCCUAAGGCGAGGCAGAAAUGCGUAGCUGAUGGGAAACGGGUUAAUAUUCCCGUACUUCUUAUAACUGCGAUGGAGAGACGGAGAAGGCUAUGCCUACCGGGCGUUGGUUGUCCCGGGGAAAGGCUGUAGGCUGAGGUGUUAGGCAAAUCCGGCACCUUAAGGCUGAGAGUCGAGACCACUGGUCCUUUGUGACCGGGAAGUGGUUGAUGCCAUGCUUCCAGGAAAAUCUUCUAAGCUUCAGGUUAUAAGGAACCGUACCCCAAACCGACACAGGUGGUUGGGAUGAGUAUUCUAAGGCGCUUGAGAGAACUCGGGUGAAGGAACUAGGCAAAGUGGUACCGUAACUUCGGGAGAAGGUACGCCGCUGAAGGUGAUGAGACUUGCUCUCUGAGCUAUCGGCGGUCGCAGUGAAAAGGCCCCUGCAACUGUUUAUUAAAAACACAGCACUCUGCAAACGCGUAAGCGGACGUAUAGGGUGUGACGCCUGCCCGGUGCCGGAAGGUUAAUUGAUGGGGUUAGCUUCGGCGAAGCUCUUGAUCGACGCCCCGGUAAACGGCGGCCGUAACUAUAACGGUCCUAAGGGAGCGAAAUUCCUUGUCGGGUAAGUUCCGACCUGCACGAAUGGCGUAAUGAUGGGGGCGCUGUCUCCACCCGAGACUCAGUGAAAUCGAAAUCGCAGUGAAGAUGCUGUGUACCCGCGGCUAGACGGAAAGACCCCGUGAACCUUUACUAUAGCUUCACAGUGGACUUUGAACCUGUUUGUGUAGGAUAGCUGGGAGACUUUGAAGCAGUGACGCUAGUUACUGUGGAGUCGUCCUUGAAAUACCAGCCUGGCAUGUUUGAGGUUCUAACCUAGGUCCCUUAUCGGGAUCGGGGACAUUGUGUGGUGGGUAGUUUGACUGGGGCGGUCUCCUCCCAAAGAGUAACGGAGGAGCACAAAGGUACCCUCAGCACGGUCGGACAUCGUGCAACGAGCGUAAAGGUAGAAGGGUGCUUGACUGCGAGACCUACAAGUCGAGCAGGUGCGAAAGCAGGUCUUAGUGAUCCGGUGGUUCUGUAUGGAAGGGCCAUCGCU